UACGUAGGGGGCAAGCGUUGUCCGGAUUUAUUGGGCGUAAAGCGCGUGUAGGCGGCCAGGUAGGUCGGUUGUGAAAAUUGGAGGCUCAACCUCCAGACGUCGAUCGAAACCAUCUGGCUAGAGUCCGGAAGAGGAGAAUGGAAUUCCUGGUGUAGCGGUGAAAUGCGCAGAUAUCAGGAAGAACACCCGUGGCGAAAGCGGCUCUCUGGAACGGUACUGACGCUGAGACGCGAAAGCGUGGGGAGCGAACAGG
rnacentral:rRNA from 1 species